AAACAGCCUGGGUUUUCUUCUACCUCCCUAAUUGUUGAGAACUGCACUUCAAACUCCCUCAACUCCCUUGUCCCCUCAAACUGAACAAUUUUGAAAUGAUAUUUAGUAGCAGGUGAUAGUCCCAUCACAGCACACCUCGCCUUCGGUUGUCGUAGAAUACAUGUCGGUUCUGCCGGGUAAUCUGCAUCAUCUGCCUUACGAUGCCAUAAGGUGAAGCCGACCUGGUUCUCAGAGGAUCCAUUUUCACAACUCAAAACUAGAGUGAGG
rnacentral:misc_RNA from 1 species